AACGUACGCUGGCGGCACGCCUAACACAUGCAAGUCGAACGAAGUAGCAAUACUUAGUGGCAGACGGGUGAGUAACAUGUAGGUAUCUGCCCUUUGGCCUGGAAUAACACGAGGAAACUUGUGCUAAUACCGGAUAAGUCUUUACGGAGAAAGCUUUAUGCACCAUUGGAUGAGCCUGCACUUGAUUAGUUUGUUGGUGGGGUAAUGGCCUACCAAGACUGUGAUCAAUAGCUGAUUUGAGAGGAUGAUCAGCCACAUUGGGACUGAGACACGGCCCAAACUCCUACGGGAGGCAGCAGUGGGGAAUCUUGCACAAUGGAGGAAACUCUGAUGCAGCGAUGCCGCGUGAGUGAAGAAGGCCCUUGGGUUGUAAAGCUCUUUCGUCGGGGAAGAAAAUGACUGUACCCGAAUAAGAAGGUCCGGCUAACUUCGUGCCAGCAGCCGCGGUAAUACGAAGGGACCUAGCGUAGUUCGGAAUUACUGGGCUUAAAGAGUUCGUAGGUGGUUGAAAAAGUUAGUGGUGAAAUCCCAGAGCUUAACUCUGGAACUGCCAUUAAAACUUUUCAGCUAGAGUAUGAUAGAGGAAAGCAGAAUUUCUAGUGUAGAGGUGAAAUUCGUAGAUAUUAGAAAGAACACCAAUUGCGAAGGCAGCUUUCUGGAUCAUUACUGACACUGAGGAACGAAAGCAUGGGUAGCGAAGAGGAUUAGAUACCCUCGUAGGCCAUGCCGUAAACGAUGUGUGUUAGACGUUGGAAAUUUAUUUUCAGUGUCGCAGGGAGACCGAUAAACACACCGCCUGGGGAGUACGACCGCAAGGUUAAAACUCAAAUGAAUUGACGGGGACCCGCACAAGUAGUGGAGCAUGUGGUUUAAUUCGAAGAUACGCGCAGAACCUUACCAACACUUGACAUGUUCGUCGCGACUCUAAGAGAUUAGAGUUUUCGGUUCGGCCGGACGAAACACAGGUGCUGCAUGGCUGUCGUCAGCUCGUGUCGUGAGAUGUUGGGUUAAGUCCCGCAACGAGCGCAACCCUCACUUUUAGUUGCCAUCAUUAAGUUGGGCACUCUGAAAGAACUGCCAGUGAUAAGCUGGAGGAAGGUGGGGAUGACGUCAAGUCCUCAUGGCCCUUACGUGUUGGGCUACACACGUGCUACAAUGGUAUCUACAACAGGAAGCAAGACUGCGAAGUUAAGCAAAUCCCUAAAAGAUACCUCAGUUCGGAUUGCACUCUGCAACUCGAGUGCAUGAAGCUGGAAUUACUAGUAAUCGUGGAUCAGCGUGCCACGGUGAAUGCGUUCCCGGGUCU
rnacentral:rRNA from 1 species